rnacentral:lncRNA from 1 species
GGAACCCUAUACAAGAGAGGUCUCUCCACUCCCCUAUUAAGAUGCCUAGAGAAAUCAUAGGCUACUUGUGCUCUCUUAGAGGUACAUGAAGGAAUAUCCGUAAAACAUCUAGGAGUCGCUGCCUUAGUCAAAAAAGUCUUGAGAACGGGAUAUUUUUGGGCGACCAUAGUCCAGGACGCUAGAGAGUAUGUAAAGAAAUGUGGCCAAUUCAAGCGACAAAGAAAC